rnacentral:tRNA from 1 species
GGCCGGUUGGCUCAGUUGGUUAGAGCGUCGUGCUAAUAACGCGAAUGUCGGAGGCUCGUGCCCCAUACUGGUCA